CCCGCGCCGGAUCGCGCCGGUGCCCCGCGAGGGGCUUAAUCGGGAAUGCGGUGAGGACGGCGAGGAACCGUCCGAAUCCGCGGCUGUCCCUGCAACUGUAAGCGGCGAGCGAGACGCACGGGCGGCGGGGCAUCCCGCCGCAGCCACUGGGGAAACCUGGGAAGGCGUGCGUCGAUGCUGUGACCCGCGAGCCAGGAGACCUGCCGGCGCGUGUCGCUCAUG
rnacentral:ncRNA from 2 species